rnacentral:rRNA from 1 species
UGAAUACGAGAUGCUACGGCGUCGAAGCAGUGUAUGUCAGACUUCCAAGAAAAGCUCGCAAUGUCAUAAAUAAAGAAUGCCUGUACCAUAACCGACACAGGUGGGUAGGUAGAGUAUACUAAGGGGCGCGAGAUAACUCUCUCUAAGGAACUCGGCAAAAUAACUCCGUAACUUCGGGAGAAGGAGUGCCUUCUUUAAGAAGGUUGCAAUAACAAGAUCCAAGCAACUGUUUAUCAAAAACACAGGUCUCCGCUAAGUCGUAAGACGAUGUAUGGGGGCUGACGCCUGCCCAGUGCCAGAAGGUUAAAGAAGUUGGUUAGCUUUUGCGAAGCUGAUGACUGAAGCCCUGGUGAACGGCGGCCGUAACAAUAACGGUCCUAAGGUAGCGAAAUUCCUUGUCGGGUAAGUUCCGACCCGCACGAAAGGCGUAAUGAUCUGGAUACUGUCUCGGAGAGGGACUCGGUGAAAUAGACUUGUCUGUGAAGAUGCGGACUACCUGCACCAGGACAGAAAGACCCUAUGAAGCUUUACUGUAACUUGAAAUUGAAAUUGGACUUUAUUUGCGCAGUAUAGGUGGAAGGCGUUGAAAGUAAUCUUGCGGGAUUAGUGGAGCCAUCGGUGAGAUACCACUCCUAUAAUGUUAGAUUUCUAACUUUGGAUCAUGAUCUGGUCAAAGAACAGUUUCAGGCGGGCAGUUUGACUGGGGCGGUCGCCUCCCAAAUGGUAACGGAGGCGUACAAAGGUUUCCUCUGAACGGGUAGAAAUCGUAUCUAGAGUGUAAAGGCAUAAGGAAGCUUGACUGUGAGACCUACAAGUCGAGCAGGGACGAAAGUCGGUCUUAGUGAUCUGACGGUGCUGAGUGGAAAGGCCGUCACUCAACGGAUAAAAGUUACUCUAAGGAUAACAGGCUGAUCUCCCCCAAGAGUUCACAUCGACGGGGAGGUUUGGCACCUCGAUGUCGGCUCAUCGCAUCCUGGGGCGGUAGUACGUCCCAAGGGUUGGGCUGUUCGCCCAUGAAAGCGGUACGCGAGCUGGGUUCAGAACGUCGUGAGACAGUUCGGUCCAUAUCCGGUGUAGGCGUUAGAAUAUUGAGAGGAGCCUUCUUUAGUACGAGAGGACCGAGAAGGACAUACCUCUGGUGUACCAGUUAUCUGCCAACGGUAAACGCUGGGUAGCUAUGUAUGGAGAGGAUAACCGCUGAAAGCAUCUAAGUGGGAAGCCCACCUCAAGAUGAGUAUUCUCA